rnacentral:lncRNA from 1 species
AAAAUGGUCCAAAAUGCAUUUUCUUGCCAACUUUGCCAAUUAGACCUACAAACACACGAAAAUAGCUUAAAUCACUAUAAUAAAUGGAAAUUAACUAAGUAAAUGCAAGGAAACAAGCUAAUAAAGUCGCAUAAAUAUGCUCCUAUCAAAUUCCUCAACACUUAGCUUUCGCUAGUCCUUGACCAAAACAAAGAAAAUAAAACACAACCUAAACCUUCCAACGAUUACCCCAAGGAUUUCCAAUGGAACAUGACAUGCUAAAAAUCACCACUCACAUAGAUUUUAUCCAUCCCUACCCUCGAGCGCAUGCUUAAUCACAGUCACCAUUCACUAGCUCGCAUUUAAUCAAGUAAACAAUGUUUUGAAUGUAGUAACAUGCCUUAGAGAAUUCCUUCAAUUCCUCACUGGAUAUACUCUCUAUUUUCACAUAGAUUUUCUAACCACACUCCCUAUACUAGGUAUAUGUGAGAAGAUUGAUGUAAACAUGUAGACUAGCCACUCACAUAUGUUUUAAACAAAGAAGGCAAUUUCUGGAGUUAUUAAUACAUGUAUAUAUAUGAUCUCAUGAAUGGAAUGCCACUACUUAGAAGCGAGAACCAGGGAUUCCAUAUACUCGUACCAAUUUCAAAGUCCACUGAUUAAAACACACAACAACCAAGAUAGAAGUCAAAUGGUUGUAAUGGGGCUAAGGGUAUUGGCUAACAAAGAAAGGUUAAGGAUAAACAAAGGUUCUUAAAGCAAUAGUAAGCAAAGUAAUGAAAUUGACACUUAGAAUUCCACUUUUGAAUGCAUCAACUAAUUUUAAACACAAGGGAGAUUUACAUAACACUUAGGGCCAGAUUCAAACUUUUGGACCCUUUCUUCAACACCCAAUACUUGUGUGUU